rnacentral:misc_RNA from 1 species
UUUCCGUAGGUGUACCUGCGGAAGGAUCAUUAACGAGUGAGGGUCUUUACAGGCUCGACCUCCCAACCCUUUGUUUACCAAACUUAUGUUGCUUCGGCGGACCCGCCUCGUUUGGCCGCCGGCGAUCUUUUCGAGAUUGCUGGCCCGCGUCCGUCGACAGCCUCUCUCAAACUCUUUUGAAUCAUGUAUCGAAACCUGAGUCACAACCAAAAAUUAAAGCAAAACUUUCAACAACGGAUCUCUUGGUUCUGGCAUCGAUGAAGAACGCAGC